GAUGAAGAACGUAGCGAAAUGCGAUAAGUAAUGCGAAUUGCAGAAUUCCAGUGAGUCAUCGAAUCUUUGAACGCACAUUGCGCCCCCUGGUAUUCCGGGGGGCAUGCCUGUCCGAGCGUCAUUGCUGCCCUCAAGCCCGGCUUGUGUGUUGGGUCUCGUCCCCCUUCCCGGGGGGACGGGCCCGAAAGGCAGCGGCGGCACCGCGUCCGGUCCUCGAGCGUAUGGGGCUUUGUCACCCGCUCUGUAGGCCCGGCCGGCGCUUGCCGAUCAACCAAAACUUUUUUCCAGGUUGACCUCGGAUCAGGUAGGGAUACCCGCUGAACUUAAGCAUAUCAAUAAGCGGAGGA
rnacentral:misc_RNA from 1 species